UGGGGAAUUGUUCACAAUGGGCGCAAGCCUGAUGACGCAACGCCGCGUGGGGGAUGAAGGUCUUCGGAUUGUAAACCCCUGUCGAAUGGGACGAAAGACUCGCGAGUUAAUACUUCGCGGGAGUGACGGUACCGUUAAAGGAAGCCACGGCUAACUCUGUGCCAGCAGCCGCGGUAAUACAGAGGUGGCAAGCGUUGUUCGGAAUUACUGGGCGUAAAGGGCGCGUAGGCGGCCUACUAAGUCAGACGUGAAAUCCCCCGGCUUAACCUGGGAACUGCGUCUGAUACUGGAAGGCUUGAGUAUGGGAGAGGGAUGUAGAAUUCCAGGUGUAGCGGUGAAAUGCGUAGAUAUCUGGAGGAAUACCGGUGGCGAAGGCGACAUCCUGGACCAUUACUGACGCUGAGGCGCGAAAGCUAGGGGAGCAAACGGGAUUAGAUACAGGUAGUCCCUGAGCGGGCUGGCAAGGCGCAU
rnacentral:rRNA from 1 species